rnacentral:rRNA from 1 species
UACGUAGGGUGCGAGCGUUGUCCGGAAUUAUUGGGCGUAAAGAGCUCGUAGGCGGUUUGUUGCGUCGGCCGUGAAAACCCGCAGCUCAACUGUGGGCUUGCAGCUGAUACGGGCGGGCUGGAGUUCGGUAGGGGAGACUGGAAUUCCUGGUGUAGCGGUGAAAUGCGCAGAUAUCAGGAGGAACACCGGUGGCGAAGGCGGGUCUCUGGGCCGAUACUGACGCUGAGGAGCGAAAGCGUGGGGAGCGAACAGG